UUUUUAGNUUUUUUNNNCCCCCGUCAGGACGANCGCUGGCGGCGUGCCUAAUACAUGCAAGUCGAACGCUUCUUUCCUCCCGAGUGCUUGCACUCAAUUGGAAAGAGGAGUGGCGGACGGGUGAGUAACACGUGGGUAACCUACCCAUCAGAGGGGGAUAACACUUGGAAACAGGUGCUAAUACCGCAUAACAGUUUAUGCCGCAUGGCAUAAGAGUGAAAGGCGCUUUCGGGUGUCGCUGAUGGAUGGACCCGCGGUGCAUUAGCUAGUUGGUGAGGUAACGGCUCACCAAGGCCACGAUGCAUAGCCGACCUGAGAGGGUGAUCGGCCACACUGGGACUGAGACACGGCCCAGACUCCUACGGGAGGCAGCAGUAGGGAAUCUUCGGCAAUGGACGAAAGUCUGACCGAGCAACGCCGCGUGAGUGAAGAAGGUUUUCGGAUCGUAAAACUCUGUUGUUAGAGAAGAACAAGGACGUUAGUAACUGAACGUCCCCUGACGGUAUCUAACCAGAAAGCCACGGCUAACUACGUGCCAGCAGCCGCGGUAAUACGUAGGUGGCAAGCGUUGUCCGGAUUUAUUGGGCGUAAAGCGAGCGCAGGCGGUUUCUUAAGUCUGAUGUGAAAGCCCCCGGCUCAACCGGGGAGGGUCAUUGGAAACUGGGAGACNUGAGUCAGAAGA
rnacentral:rRNA from 1 species